GACCUGUUGGCACAGUUGGUAGUGCACCGGCUGAAAUUUGCCCAGGGAAAAAUGAGCUUCUGCAAGAGUCCCCAGCUCAACUUUGGGACAGGUCA